UACGUAGGGAGCGAGCGUUGUCCGGAAUUACUGGGCGUAAAGGGCGCGUAGGCGGCCUGACAAGUUGUAUGUGAAAGACCAGGGCUUAACUCUGGGGGGUCAUACAAAACUGCCGGGCUUGAGUGUGGUAGAGGAUAGCGGAAUUCCUAGUGUAGCGGUGAAAUGCGUAGAUAUUAGGAGGAACACCAGUGGCGAAGGCGGCUAUCUGGGCCACAACUGACGCUGAGGCGCGAAAGCGUGGGGAG
rnacentral:rRNA from 1 species